rnacentral:rRNA from 1 species
GACGAACGCUGGCGGCGUGCCUAAUACAUGCAAGUAGAACGCUCAAGGAGGAGCUUGCUCUUCUGGAUGAGUUGCGCACGGGUGAGUAACGCGUAGGUAACCUGCCUGGUAGCGGGGGAUAACUAUUGGAAACGAUAGCUAAUACCGCAUAAUAGUAGAUGUUGCAUGAUAUUUACUUAAAAGGUGCAAUUGCACCACUACCAGAUGGACCUGCGUUGUAUUAUCUAGUUGGUGGGGUAACGGCUCACAAAGGGGACGAUACAUAGCGGACCUGAGAGGGGAAUCGGCAAGACUGGAACUGAGAAACGGCCAAGAUCCCUAGGGAGGGAGGAGGAGGGGAAUCUCGGGAAUUGAGGGAAGGCCGGACGGGCAAAGGCGGGGGGGGUGAGGAGGGUCUUGGAUUGGAAAACCUCGUUGUAAGGGAAGAACGAGAGGGGGAGUGGAAAGUGCACACUGUGACGGUAUCUUACCAGAAAGGGACGGCUAACUACGUG